rnacentral:rRNA from 1 species
ACUCAAAGGAAUAGACGGGGGCCCGCACAAGCAGCGGAGCAUGUGGUUUAAUUCGAAGCAACGCGAAGAACCUUACCAAGGCUUGACAUCCCCUGACAGCUGUCGAAAGGCAGUAUCCCUUCGGGGCAGGGAGACAGGUGGUGCAUGGUUGUCGUCAGCUCGUGUCGUGAGAUGUUGGGUUAAGUCCCGCAACGAGCGCAACCCUUAUCCUCAGUUACCAGCGCGUUAAGGCGGGGACUCUGGGGAGACCGCCGGGGACGACUCGGAGGAAGGUGGGGACGACGUCAAAUCAUCAUGCCCCUUAUGUCUUGGGCUACACACGUGCUACAAUGGCCGCAACAGAGGGAAGCGAAGGAGCAAUUCGGAGCGAAACCCUAAAAAGCGGUCCCAGUUCGGAUUGUGGGCUGCAACCCGCCCACAUGAAGUCGGAGUUGCUAGUAAUCGCGAAUCAGCAUGUCGCGGUGAAUGCGUUCCCGGGCCUUGCACACACCGCCCGU